UUAGCAGGGAGACAGGACUGUCUGGGAGCGCAUGUCCUAGAGGCAGAGGCAGGACUUCCAGGAGGCUGUGAACAGGACUAACUUAUCCAGCCUCAGGAACAGAGACAGACUGUCUUCUAGAGAGGGACCAUCCGACAAUUUUCAGGCUCAAGUGAGCAGUUAACACCAAGACUUGGCGUGCGGACAUAAUGCAUGGGGCAACAGCCACUGUCCAUGCUUGGCCAUCUUCUGUGUGUGAAGCGGGUUAGUCCCACACAGCACCUGGAGAUCAUGGAGCAUCACUGUCUUCAUUUCUAUGAACUUCUGCUUAAGGCCCUGGCCGUGUGAUGGCUGAUCAUUGUCUUUCUCACUUGUACCAGAGAAAGCCUUGAAGAAUCUAUGACACAUUAUGGAAAAGUACAAGAGUGACCGAUCCUCCAACAGCGGUCAAUAGCGGCUUGAGCAGAGGCGAGGAGAUCCUGGAAAUUUAAAAGUGAGGUCUUGACAUUCCUGGGAGGAGGGAGCAUCAACUGAGGACUGCCUCUACCACACUAGCCUGUGGGCAGGUUCUUGGGCCCUUCCCUCGACUGCUAAUUGAUAAGGGAGGGUCUAGCCCAUUGUGGGUUGUGCUAUCUGUGCUCGCUUGUAGGGGUGACCCCUCACCUGCGAGCAGGAUCUCACGUCCUAUCGGGCCUGUGAAGGGGCUGAGAGGAGCCUCAUGGUCUUGCCUCUGUGGAGAAGGGCUUCAGCUCCAGCACUGCCCUCAGGCCCCUGCUCUGGCGUAACGUAAGCACGGCUGCUCUACAUUCUUAGAGCUGAGACUCUUUCCAGGCAGGAGCAACCCUAGGGUCACAUGGGCUGUGGGCAGGGUCCGGUACAUUCACUUCCUUUCCCCUCCCUUCUCUGUUCUGCCUUCUGUCCCUGUUCACUUACUCCUUUGUGAAUUUCUAGUUACCUGACAACACCUGCGAAGUAAGGCUGAUGGGAAACCCUAUCCCCUUGAAAGGACAACAGAGGCACCCUAGUGUGGCCUUGAACCAGUCAGCAACACAGAGGGUUUCUGGAUCUAGAGGCAUGCUUCCUCCUGGGAGACAGAAAUUCACCUGGUCACCCAUGAUAAGUUUUUUCUCCAUCUGCAAAGUGAGCCAAUUCAAGCCAAAUUAGAGAAUAUAAAGGCAGGUUUAUUGGGAAGCUGGUCUCGAGCAGGUUCACUGGUCUCAAGAAAGGAGGCCAGAAAAGUCACCAUGGGGAGGGAGACAGAGUGGAGGGAGAAGAGAAAGAGCACUAAGGGAGAGAACACACACAUACAUACACACACAUGCACAC